rnacentral:lncRNA from 12 species
GUUCCCCUUCCAUUUUACCAUGCCUGAGAAAAGACCAAAAUAUGGAUUUUUGGAUGCACAGCAAGCCUUGUGCCUGGUGAUUCUGAUAGUGAGCUCUGAGUCACUGAGCACAAUUCUGAUGAAUUAGAAGUCAAAUCUGCUUGAUGAAGGAGCAAGCACAGCCAGAGAAUAAAAAUACUGGGUCGCUAACAGUACAGCCAAAAAGGAAAAGGUGAUGCUCCCCCAAAACGUUUGAAAAUCAAGCAAGAUACUGUUAUCGAAAGCAUCAGAAAGCUGUUGUCCAGACUGUGUGUUUUACUUGCCUAAGAUGUCCAGGAGGAAGAUUACUCUGUUUCUUCUGAGAGAAAACCAAUCAACCGACCAACCUGUGAUUUCUAGGCAAUCUUCAAAACGAGAAGCUUUGAACAAGAAAAUGUGUUGACAUUAUAGUUCAUCCAUUUUGAAUGUAAUCUAUCUCCGAGGCGAUGAUAUACAUAUCGUUGUUACCUACCGAAGAGCAAAUAAAACACAGUCAUGGUUUGUCUUUUUGUUGUCG